AACCGCCGUAUACGGAACCGUACGUACGGUGGUGUGAGAGGGGCGAAAAUAUUAAAUUAUUUUCCCUCUACUCGAU
rnacentral:ncRNA from 2 species